UUCCGUAGGUGAACCUGCGGAAAGAUCAUUAUCGAGUUCUGACAUGGGUGUCGCUGGGCCUCUCGGGGCAUGUGCACACUCAUUGCCCAUCCACUCACACCUGUGCACACUUGUAGUUGUCUCUGAUCUCUCAAAGGAGCGGAAGCCUUUUAUUAGGUGAAAGUUCUAGCGAGGGGGACGGGCUCUACGUUUUUAUACACUCUGCUUAAAGUCUAGAAUGUCAUACUGCUAUAAACGCAUUUAAAUACAACUUUCAACAACGGAUCUCUUGGCUCUCGCAUCGAUGAAGAACGCAGCGAAAUGCGAUAAGUAAUGUGAAUUGCAGAAUUCAGUGAAUCAUCGAAUCUUUGAACGCACCUUGCGCUCUUUGGUAUUCCGAAGAGCAUGCCUGUUUGAGUGUCAUGAAUCUCUCAACUCCUAAAGUUUGUAAUGAACGAUAGGGGCUUGGACUUGGAGGCUUGCCGGCGUCUGUCGGCUCCUCUUAAAUGCAUUAGCUAUGGAUCACAAUGUGUACGAUCUACGGUGUGAUAUAUGUCUACGCCUAUGGAUCUAUACGAGAGUUACCGCCUGCAAGGGUCAUGGUCUUCGGAUCUGUGUGACGACGUGAAUACAAAGCUUCUAAUCGUCCUUCAUUGGACAAACUUCAUCUGACAUCUGACCUCAAAUCAGGUAGGACUACCCGCUGAACUUAAGCAUAUCAAUAAGCGGAGGA
rnacentral:rRNA from 1 species